GUGAUCAUCCUCGCGGACAGCGCGGCUGUGCGGAUGGGGAGCUGUCGAUACCCGUGAUUAAUGCCAAAGCCCUGUUUCCUGGGGAGAGGGUGAUGUUUGACUUUCUUGUACAGCUGCAGUUUGUGUGGUGAAGGUGCUCCCACAAUGUGGUUGGGAUGAGGCUGUCACUGGCUCGGCCAGCAUUUAUUGCUGCGUUUACCCAGAGGGCAGUUAAGAGUCAACCACGUUGCUAUAGGUCUGGAGUCCCAUGCAGACCAGACCAGAUCCCAGUGAUCAGUGCCAAAGCCCCAUUGCCUGUGGAGAGGGUGAUGUUUGAUUUCCCUGUCCAGCUGCAGUUCAUGUGGUGAAGGUGCUCCCACAAUGUGGUUGGAUAACAAGACCGAUGCUGUUUCCAAUCAUGAUCAGAAACAAACCUCAGAAUACACAUGGUUCAUAGAUGGAUGUCAAUAGCCCAUCAACAUCCAACUCCUGCAAUUAUUCAGCAAAUGUAUGUGUGAUUAACCAGUCCUGAUGUCAGUCCUGAUGUACCAGAAAAUCGCUGUUUACUCUGUGCAGAUGGGCAGUGAUGUGGGGAAGUAUUGGCCGAGUGAUAUUGUCGCUGGACAGUUAGUCCAAAGCCCCAGAUAAACUUCUGGAGACCUGAGUUCAAAGCCUACUGCUGCAGAUGGGUGAAUUUGAAUUAAAUUUUUAAAAACUCGGGAAUUUAAGAGUCUCAUGAUGACCAUUAAUCGAUUUUCCGAAAAACCCAUCUGGAUCACUAAUGCCCUUUCAGGAAGGAAGCUGCCAUCCUUACCUGGUCUGGCCUAGAUUGUGACUUCAGACCCACAACAAUGUGGUCGACUCUUACCUGCCCCCUGGGCAAUUAGGGAUGGGCAGGAAAUGCUGCCGGGCCAGCGACACCCUCAUCUUGUGAAUGAAUAAAGGAAAAUAAAAGUCUCUUCCCAGUGUGAAUC